AAGAGGCUACAUGGGACUCGGAUUAUUGAUAAUAACAUGUUUCUGCACACUGACAUGGAAUCUGUAUUGAGAUUGAUUUCUGAGGCAAUUGUGUUCCGAGCACUGCGUGUUUCGCUAAUUUGCCAGUAAUGGAUUCGCCAUUUAAUGAACACCAACUCUCGCGUUUCUGAUCGCGCUAUACAAAAGUAUCUUUCGAGAAAAAUCGUUUCAAGUGAGUUGAUAAACAUGUUACUUUGACUGAAAUUUGAACAAGAUACGUGUGAAUCCUUGGAAGCUGGGAUGCAUUUAGUUAACACAGUAAACACUGCUGAUGAGGGGAAAGAUUAAAGACCUCGUGUGAUUCUUCGUUUGUAUUGGACAUUGCACAGACUUUAAUAGACAAACGCUGGCAACCAUCAUAAUGAUAAAUUCAUCUACCACUCAGCCCUCCCAAGACCUCAAAUUUAAAGAAGCCGGUAAACCUCACAUCACACAGACUAUCCUCAUGAUGUCUGGAGAUGUGGAAUCCAACCCUGGACCAAAAAGCAAGCAUUCGAGUCAUUCCGAAAAUGAAGAAGACUUUGAUGACAUCUUAAAAGACGUGGCGAGUCGCAUCGGAGGCAACAUGGCUAUAGAUAAUCUCGGCAAGCCCUUGGUUUUGAUCCGGCCGAAAUUGAGAGGUACAUAGCCACGAACACCCGUUAUCAGCAUGUGACGUAUGAUGGUACAUUGAAGAUGCUCCGCAAUUGGCGAGAUAGCCAAACAGAGGCAACGGAACGACCAGCUCUUGCAGAUGCUUUGAAGCUAGCAGGACUUGUAAGAAUUGCAAAUAUCUUCAUCCGGACCCCGAAGGUUCAAAAACUCCAAACCGGUGUGUACUCACAGUUUAAAUUAAUGUUGUUUU